GCGUGAAUUCUGCCUUCUAAUCGUGGAUUUGACCUCCAAGUUGUGAUACUGAAGAGGUCGUGCUUAGAUAUCUAAGUUCCAACGUGAGCUUCAUUGGAAUUGUUGCUUCAUUCUACUUGGAAUUUGACUUAUUGAAUUUAGCCCGAUUGAAAAACUUACAUAACCUUGAGGCAAAGGAAAUAAAGGUGGCAAACCGGCGAGGGGCAGGAAGGAAGCGUGAUUGCCAUAGGGAAU